GUCAGCACAUACGCGAGGACAAGUGCCCAGCACGCGUGCGCACAGAUAGAAUCCGGAUGUACGCGAGAAGGAGCGACGACCGUGAAUGGGAAAUGUGCGCGUGCGUCGACGUCACAGGUCCUCACAUCUCUUUUCGAAAUGUUGUUCUGGACUUGGCUGAACUUGUAAACAAGAAAAGAUGAAGUUCAAAACCCUCUGCUUUCUUCCUACAUCCAGCAACCAGAUUAUCUUCAAUGUAUACCAAGGGUUCCACACUUUCCAGAUUUAUUUUUUGUGCAUGCCAUGGUCUAGUGAUCUAAGGAUACACAUACAAAUAUCCUGCUGAUAACAGGCGUUCACCUACACAGAGGGAAGCACCAGCAUUACAAUCAGUUAAAGUAAAAGAUGAUGUACCAUUUUUAUAUCACACACCAAUAAAGUUUCUAACUAACAAACAAAACAGUCUACAGCUGAGUUUUUC